GAUCCUGCUAAUCAGAGGACUUUGUUCAGCAGAAGCUUUAUUAUUCUUUUUGGCUGUUUUUCUCUGGUCAAACCAAAUGGGUGGAGAAGUGCAUCUUUUUUGUCUACCUUGGCUAGCCUUACAAGUAGCUUACUAUAAAUUCAUUUUUUCAUGCUUUCAUUUUUUGAGAGAGAGAGAGAGAGAGACAGUGUGAGCCCAGGAGGGGCAGAGAGAGGCGGAACGAGGAUUCAAAGUGGGCCCUCAUGCUGACAACAGGGAGCUCCGUGCUGCUUGAACUCAUGAACUCACAAACCCUGAGAUCACGACCUGAGCUAAAAUACUAUGCUCAACGGAUUGAGCCUACCCAGGUGCCCCUAUAAAUUCCUUUUUGUCUGUCAGAUAGACUUUUCAGUACUUUAUAAGGACUUAAUUAUCAAGAGUUGGAUAUACCUCAUGGUCCAAUCCAGUUCAAGCCUUAAUCUUCCCAAUCGUCUCUCUCUCUCUCUGUCUCUCACUGCAAAUUUACUAAAGUGUAUAUUACAUAUAAUAAAACUCAUCCCACAUUUUAAGUGUACAGAUUACUAAGUUUAGGUAACUGUGUGCAGUUUUGUAAGCAUGAUCACGAUACAUUACAAAACAUUUACAUUACCUCAGAAAGUUGCCUCGGGCCUCUUUGAAAUGAAUUCCCUCCUCAAUUCCCAGACCCAAGCAGUACUGAUCUGCUGUCUAUCAUAAACAUUGCCUUUUCCAGAAUUUCAUAUAAAUGGGGCCAUACAGAAUUUAAUGUUUUACCACCUUCACUUAACAAAGGUUUUGAAAUUCGCCUAAGUUGUGUGUAUCAAUAGUUUGCUUAUUUUCAGCCUACAAAGGUCCACCACCACCAACCUAGCUCUCUAGGCUGUUAGGAGCUUGCCACCAGUGUUCCACCUGGGCCAGUCCCCAUCCUCUUGAGGAGGUAACAUCAUCCUGACUUCACUCCCAGUCACAAGAUCGAUCAGCAUCCAUCCACAGACAAGACACCACUGAGAAAAAUCCCAGAACCCAGGGGUGAGACUGAAGCACCCCCCUAGACAGCAGACACCAAGACAGAUCAUAUUAUAAGGGGAAGCAGAUUUGGAUCCUCUAAUCCUACCCAUCCCGGAAGUCUGGCCAGAGAACCGGGGCAGUUGCAGAGCAAAGCCAGGCCCGCCGUCUUGCCCAACUGUUGAGCACGGUCUCUGGUCCCACAUAGCCUGGGAGCCUGAACAGCGACCCUGGGCAGCCUUGGAACACAGCCCGCUGUACCACCAAACCGUGGAGCCGUCCACAGCCUACCCAGCAGAGGAGCCCAGCCUAUGAAGAAAGAGUGCGCAAACAGAAGAGGGGCAGAAAGAGAAGGAGAGAGAGAUCC